rnacentral:rRNA from 1 species
GAUGAACGCUGGCGGCGUGCCUAAUACAUGCAAGUCGAGCGAACGGACGAGAAGCUUGCUUCUCUGAUGUUAGCGGCGGACGGGUGAGUAACACGUGGAUAACCUACCUAUAAGACUGGGAUAACUUCGGGAAACCGGAGCUAAUACCGGAUGAUAUUUUGAACCGCAUGGUUCAAAAGUGAAAGACGGUCUUGCUGUCACUUAUAGAUGGAUCCGCGCUGCAUUAGCUAGUUGGUAAGGUAACGGCUUACCAAGGCAACGAUGCAUAGCCGACCUGAGAGUGUGAUCGGCCACACUGGAACUGAGACACGGUCCAGACUCCUACGGGAGGCAGCAGUAGGGAAUCUUCCGCAAUGGGCGAAAGCCUGACGGAGCAACGCCGCGUGAGUGAUGAAGGUCUUCGGAUCGUAAAACUCUGUUAUUAGGGAAGAACAUAUGUGUAAGUAACUGUGCACAUCUUGACGGUACCUAAUCAGAAAGCCACGGCUAACUACGUG